CGUCUCCCUCCUUUUCUUUCUUCCUCUUCCUCUUAUUUCUCGCACAGCUCGACCUGGACACGCCUCCGUGUCCUCUGUCCGUCUUGCUGCUGCUGCAGCUGAACAGAUGAUUUGUUUCAGUGCUCAGAUGCGUGAUCUACUUUAAGCCGACAUACGGAUAUUAUAAUAUUCAGUUUUGUGAGCCAAAUUUAUUUUAUAUGCCAACAUCUAUGAAAGAAAGAGCCAGGCCACGGAGCGCGAUGCGUCAUUUACGCACAGAUGGUUCCGAUUUUAAUGCCAUUUUUGGAGUUUAUGUUGUGAUCUGUGCGCUCAACCCACCUUUGUUACGUGAGGUUUGAAUAUGAGCAACUUUAUGUGAGUGUCUUUAUUUGUGGAAAAGGGUGUUUGUCUUACCAGUGGGUCCAACAUUACGCACACUAAAUCCAUCUGUGCUCAUAUGAGAGAGUGUGGAGGACACUUGUUGAGGAGCUGCCCUCUGUCGCCAUCUUGUGGCAUUACUGUCUUAAGACAUCUCUUGAUCUCUUUGACUACUUCAUGAAAAUAGUAAUACGCCUCGCCUGUGGCGGAUUUAAAGGCAAGGAGAGGAGCCUAUGUGAUUGGUGAAAACAGGUCUCGGCUGUGUUAAACCGACUUCACGCCCUUUCUCCUCCCCGUUACGACUUAUGGUGCUGGGAGGAGCUGAGUUAGGGAGGGGGGAUACUUACGCUGGGCUGCGCGGCUCACCAAAAUACCAAAAUGUGCUUGGGAACGCCUUGUCAGCGCGGCGGAUCUGACUGACGCUGCACUUGCGGCACGUCUCCGGCGAGGCAC
rnacentral:lncRNA from 1 species